AACAUCCCGAUGUCGCAGCUUCUUAUAACAACUUAGCUACUGUACUUUACAAACAAGGUGACCUGAAGCAAGCAAAGGAGUGUCAUGAGCGUGCUCUUGGUAUUAGGCAAUAAAAUUUAGGGCAUCAACAUCCUGAUGUCGCAAUUUCCUAUAACAACUUAGCUAAUGUACUUCGUGAUGAAGGAGACCUGAAGGAAGCAAAGGAGAAUCAAGAGCGUGCCCUCGUUAUUAUGGGAGAGGUUACCUCUGGGACCUCAAUAUCCUUAUGUAUAUAGCAACUUCUUAUGGCUGCAGCUGUACUUUGUGAUUAAGGUGAUCUAAAUCAAGUAUGCGAGCAUUCUGAUCGUGCCUCGACCAUUUUAUCGAGCCUCCUUCGGUUCUGGUGAUCCUCAUUUUACCUCUCCUCAGCGUAACUUCGCUUCACUUUUGGAGACAAGUGACGAUAAUGAAAAUCUGCGAGCUUCUGAACGUGCUUGUCGUAAGAAAAAGUACUUGACCCUCUGAAAAGGCGAUGCAAGGAUAUUGAGAUAUUUAGUAUUUUACUUCUAUGAUCCUCGACAAAUUACUCUUUAUCCACAUCUAUUUUGCUUUCCAUUUUUCCUCCACCAGUGAUUGUUAGUCUCAAAACAGACCAUUGAACAAGCACAAGUACUUCGGCACGAUCAACAUUAAUAAAUGAGUGGGGAAGGGGGAGUACGGCGAAUAGGGCAUUUCAAACGUGAAAUCAUGAUAUAUCUUGUUGCUCAUAAUCGCACAAAAAUCGCUAGGGUUUCCGUAUCAAUUUGUCUAGGAUUGUAGCUUGCUCCGAUGAAGCCCUCGCAAUAUUUUUGAAGAUUUUUCUACGAAGUAAUUUGAGUUAGAUGCAUUGUGGAAGUGGAUGUAUAUUCAAUCAUUCAUUUUAACGGCAGCAAUAAGGUUUCAAGAAAAGCAGAUCAAAUGCAAAGACAAUA